GAUGAACGCUAGCCACAGGCUUAACACAUGCAAGUCGAGGGGCAGCAUUUUACUAGCAAUAGUAAAGAUGGCGACCGGCGCACGGGUGAGUAACACGUAUCCAACCUGCCGAUAACUCGGGGAUAGCCUUUCGAAAGAAAGAUUAAUAUCCGAUAGUAUAUUUUCUCCGCAUGGCGAGAAUAUUAAAGAAUUUCGGUUAUCGAUGGGGAUGCGUUCCAUUAGGCAGUUGGUGAGGUAACGGCUCACCAAACCUUCGAUGGAUAGGGGUUCUGAGAGGAAGGUCCCCCACAUUGGAACUGAGACACGGUCCAAACUCCUACGGGAGGCAGCAGUGAGGAAUAUUGGUCAAUGGGCGCGAGCCUGAACCAGCCAAGUAGCGUGAGGGAUGAAGGCUCUAUGGGUCGUAAACCUCUUUUAUAUGGGAAUAAAGUUUUCCACGUGUGGAAUUUUGUAUGUACCAUAUGAAUAAGGAUCGGCUAACUCCGUGCCAGCAGCCGCGGUAAUACGGAGGAUCCGAGCGUUAUCCGGAUUUAUUGGGUUUAAAGGGAGCGUAGGUGGAUUGUUAAGUCAGUUGUGAAAGUUUGCGGCUCAACCGUAAAAUUGCAGUUGAAACUGGCAGUCUUGAGUACAGUAGAGGUGGGCGGAAUUCGUGGUGUAGCGGUGAAAUGCUUAGAUAUCACGAAGAACUCCGAUUGCGAAGGCAGCUCACUAGACUGUCACUGACACUGAUGC
rnacentral:rRNA from 1 species